rnacentral:tRNA from 1 species
AAUAAAGUGCCUGACUAAAGGAUUAUUCUGAUAGGAUAAAUUAAGUAGAUUAUCAACUACCUUUAUUA